AAUCUUUGGUUGUUGGGUGGAUUAGUGGCGAACGGGUGAGUAAUACGUGGGUAACCUGCCCUCCUUUUUGGGAUAAGCCUUGGAAACGGGGUCUAAUACCGAAUAUUCUGGCGCUCUCGCAUGGGGGUGUUGGGAAAGCUUUUGUGUGAAGGGGGAUGGGCUCGCGGCCUAUCAGCUUGUUGGUGGGGUGAUGGCCUACCAAGGCGGUGACGGGUAGCCGGCCUGAGAGGGUGACCGGCCACAUUGGGACUGAGAUACGGCCCAGACUCCUACGGGAGGCAGCAGUGGGGGAUAUUGCACAAUGGGCGAAAGCCUGAUGCAGCGACGCCGCGUGGGGGAUGAAGGCUUUCGGGUUGUAAACCUCUUUCGCUAUCGAACAAGGCCCGCUUAGGGUGGGUUGAGGGU
rnacentral:rRNA from 1 species